UUCUAGAGAACUGAUUAGAUUUGGUGUCAGAUUUCACAGAGUUCAACUUGAACGCUUUGUUAUGCGAUGUCAGGGGUUUUGCAACGUCUCGGUUUCUCUUAUAUGGUCAUUUUCCGCAAAAUCUUUAUUUCUGCAAAUGAAACCUAAAUUCAUGUGUUUGUCUCCUGCAACAUUCAGACUGUUGAAGAACAACGAUUGAAGAACCAGACUCCGAAAAUGAGUUACUGAUCCGUGUGAAAGUUUCAGCUGUCAGUAGAGACCGCUGGAGGAACGAUUUCAAAACUUUCUGUUGCACAGUUACUUUGCGAUAAUGCAUUUGACUACCUUUCGUAAAGCCAUUUUUAAACCCACCCUGAAAAACGCCUACAACCCUGAAGUACUCUGGCGAGGACAAUGGCUGCAAAUGUGCAGACCUAAGACAUCUGCACCAAAAAACUUCGGCGAUUAUGAGAACAUAAGACGGACUUACAAUCUAAAACCCUCUGCACGAUUUAAUUUCGCUAAAGAUGUGCUCGAGCAGUGGGAGAGGAAAGAAAAGAAUGGACUGAAGUCAUCUCUUCCAGCUCUGUGGUGGGUGAAUGACAUUGGGGAGGAGGUUCGAUGGAGUUUUGAGGAGCUGGGGUUUCACUCCAGAAGACUAGCAAAUGUUCUGUGUCAGGUGUGCGGUUUGGAAAAAUGGGACCGUGUCUUCCUCAUUUUACCUCAAGUCCCGGAGUGGUGGCUGGCUAAUGUAGCAUGUCUCAGAACAGGUACUGUUCUGAUCCCCGGCACUUGUCAGCUCACGGCUCGAGAUAUCCACCACCGGCUGCAGGCCUCUGGAGCCAAGUGUGUAAUCACAGAUGAAACUGUGGCUCCACUGUUGGACACAGUGGCCUCAGAAUGCCCUUCCCUCACCAUCAAACUUCUGCUGUCCCACAGGACCAGACACGGCUGGGGCAAUCUGACAGAACUGAUGGGAAGAGUAUCAGAUGAACAUGUCUGUGUAGACACCAAGAGUGAGGAGCCCAUGACUAUCUUCUUUACCAGUGGCACGACUGGCUCACCCAAAAUGACCCAACACAGCCACUGUAGUUUCGGCCUGGGGCUCACGGUGAACGGCAGGUACUGGUUGGAUCUGACAGAGCGGGAUAUUUUAUGGAACACAUCGGAUACGGGUUGGGCCAAGUCAGCAUGGAGCAGUGUGUUUGCUCCUUGGAUUCAAGGAGCAUGUGUAUUUGUUCGCCAUAUGCCACGGUUUGACACCACUACAGUUCUCAAGACUUUGUGCAGCUAUCCCAUCACCACCUUCUGCACGGCACCAACAGCUUAUCGGAUGCUUGUACACGAGGACAGAUCCAGGUUUAAAUUCCAGGCUCUUGAGCACUGUCUGUGUGCUGGGGAACCUAUAAACCCAGAAGUGAUGUGGAAAUGGAAAGAACUCACUGGAUUAGACAUCUAUGAGGGUUAUGGACAGACUGAAACUGUCUUAAUUGCAGGCACAUUCAAAGGCAUGAAGAUCAAACCAGGGUCUUUUGGAAAGGCGGCACCAGGAUAUGAUGUUCAGGUGGUGGAUGAAGAUGGUUUCAUUGUGCCACAAGGACAAGAGGGGAACCUCGCCAUCAGAGUGAAACCACACAGACCCUUCUCUCUCUUUACAGAGUACACGGGGGAGCCAGAGCGCACAGCAGAAUGUUUCCGUGGCGAUUUCUACCUGACAGGUGACAGAGGAAUGAUGGAUGAUGACGGAUACCUGUGGUUCAUCGGCAGAACUGAUGAUGUUAUCCUCUCUGCAGGGUACCGCAUUGGCCCAUUUGAGGUGGAAAAUGCUCUGAUAGAACAUCCAGCUGUAGCAGAAUCAGCCGUGGUUAGCAGCCCUGAUCCGGUUCGAGGAGAGGUGGUAAAGGCUUUUGUAGUGCUGACAGCAGAUUUUAAAUCAAGACACCAUGAAGAACUGAUCCAGGAACUACAAACACAUGUAAAGAGUGUCACAGCUCCUUAUAAAUAUCCACGCAAGGCAGGAGUACCAGCCUUGGUCUAGAGCCCGGCCAUCAAAGUCUGCCCAAAAACGACCCACCUUCCUCAGUACAGGCACUGGUGAGCCCCAACCUGAGACCAGCUACCAGGCUGCCUUCAGCACGGACACACUCAGACAUUCAAAUGGUGUUCUGGAGACCAGCACGCACACACAGCCAAGCAGUCUGUCAGAGAGAGCACACACACAGAGGACAGAGCUCGGCAUUAAACCAGAGGAGCAGGUGUUGAAGACUAAGCUGUCACCAAACCCGUCCGCUGUCUUUCAGAGCAAAUCAAGGAUCUUCAACAUAUGAUCCAUCAAGCUGAAAGAGACGCACACACAUCUGAUUCAGCCUUUCACUAAAAGAGGAAAUCAUUUAAAAAGAAGGAAUGUCUCAAAAGACACAUGAAUGUUCAGAAACUGGAGGUAUUGGGAGACUUGGAAUGUAUAUCAUAAAUCAGGGGAAAAGAACAACUGAGAUAGAAGAGAGAAAUUUUCAGGACUGCAGGAACUUGUGUAAGAUGUAAAAUCAGUUAAAUUGUGAAAAGCAAAAUCAGUUUAACAAGAUUCUCCAAAUCAUUCCACAGAGGAAAUAAUAGAACUAAAGAAAUUUUGCUGGACAUUUACUCAAUGUAAAAUCUAUGCAAGAGAAUGUAUGUUUCAAAUGUUAAACAUCUACUGAAAGGAUAUGUUUGUAAUAAACUUCAAGUGAAAAAGUGUGUGAGAGAAAGGGUGUGUGAAAGAGUGACUGGGAAAGUAAAAAAAACAGGCCUCAAGAUUUGCUGACCUUGCCAUGUCCCUGCUCAAUGAAAAUCUGCAUGUUUCAUAAUAGUUUUAUGUUUUGUUUGAAUAUGCAAUGUUUAACAAUGAGGAAAAAUGCAAAAAUGUAAUAUGGUAACUUAGUGUGGGUGUGUAGUUACACUAUUCUUUGUAUAUAGUAAUGCUCUUCUGCUUUUCUUGCUGUGUUAAUGUCUGCCUGAGAACACUGGAUGCUUUUAAUUGCUGUUUUCCCUUUACAGACCUUAUUGUAUUUACAUUUAUACAUUAAGAUUAGUUAACUUUUACUGAAUGUUGAGGGUGAAUUACUCAAGAGGGGUAUCCCAUCGUGACCAAAUUUGGUCUUGAGGGAUAUUAAGGGAAAUAUUGAGAGCAAACACUGUUUAAAUAAAAAUUACCUUCUGCAUUGAUGAUGAUGAUUUAAUCA